rnacentral:rRNA from 1 species
GACGAACGCUGGCGGCGUGCCUAAUACAUGCAAGUUGAGCGCUGAAGGUUGGUACUUGUACCAACUGGAUGAGCAGCGAACGGGUGAGUAACGCGUGGGGAAUCUGCCUUUGAGCGGGGGACAACAUUUGGAAACGAAUGCUAAUACCGCAUAAAAACUUUAAACACAAGUUUUAAGUUUGAAAGAUGCAAUUGCAUCACUCAAAGAUGAUCCCGCGUUGUAUUAGCUAGUUGGUGAGGUAAAGGCUCACCAAGGCGAUGAUACAUAGCCGACCUGAGAGGGUGAUCGGUCACAUUGGGACUGAGACACGGCCCAAACUCCUACGGGAGGCAGCAGUAGGGGAUCUUCGGCAAUGGACGAAAGUCUGACCGAGCAACGCCGCGUGAGUGAAGAAGGUUUUCGGAUCGUAAAACUCUGUUGGUAGAGAAGAACGUUGGUGAGAGUGGAAAGCUCAUCAAGUGACGGUAACUACCCAGAAAGGGACGGCUAACUACGUGCCAGCCGCCCGCAGUAAUAC